rnacentral:lncRNA from 1 species
GAGUAUGAACUGACCAGGGGCUAGGGUCAUAAACUCCAUGGCCCACGUUUUUCUUUGGCCCUGGAAACACACCUAGGACAGUGGUGAUGUGGCUUGGCAGUUAAUAGCUUCUGAGUACCAAUGCACGGAGGCCAGUGCAGGGGACCAACAUCCCACUGCCAUUCCAGAGCCUUCCACUCUUCUGUCUUUGCACUGAAGAGUUUCUGCAGAGAGAUCCACAUCUCAGCAGGGUUAGCAUUGGGCAAAACGUUGCCAGCCAUGACUGUCUGUGGUGUCCCUGACUGCUCCACUUAUCCAGAGAGACCUUGUCCCUGCCUCCCCUCUCAGAAUAUGCCUCCAGUUGCCCUGUUGACAGGACCCCUGAAGGGUUGGAUAUGCACUGAGGGAAAGGCACCCUAGACUCUAAGGAGUCCUCUGCAGCACUGUUUUUCUUCCGAACCAAGCUCACAGACCCUUGGGUGCAAAGUUCUGCCCCAACCCCCCCCCCCCGGGGUGUGUCCAGCUUUCAGAGUCACCACGAUGUCACUAGGUGACAGCUUACUCCCUAACCCAUCUGGCAUUUAGAAAGAUGCCAGAUGGCCAGCCUGGCCAACCACAAAAGAGUUAUCCCCUUGUCAAACCAGUUGGGACCGUGUUACUCUUAGGAUGCAGCCUAAGUGAGGCCAUUCAAUUCUCUGGAGCGUUGACGGUCAGUUGCUAACCCAGGAAGCAGAGUUAGAGGAAAGCUUAGAUCAGCCCUACAGGUAGGGCUGCCGCUCUCCUGGCACCGUCUGGAUGGAGUACACCUCUAUCCAGAGCAAAGACAACACCAUUACUGGUUAUUAUUAUUAUUAUUAUUAUUAUCAUUAUUAUUAUUAUUAAUUUGAAUGUCCAGAGAGGUAUUCAGGGAAAAUGUAGUGGGGAUUUUAGCAUGGCCGUACACACGGUCUUCCCAAAAGGCUUACUGACUUUUGAAUGUGUACAUGGUAGAAGGAAAGAUGCAGAAAUCUUUCCCUGAACUUCCCUAGGGUGGAGAUAGGCACAUGUUCUGGGUAGAGGUCCCUGCCUGGCCAGGCCUGAGGGCUGUACUUCCUCUUAUUAAAUCAGCAGCUGUACUUCAGGCUGCUGUGGUGGCCAAGCCUGACAGGCCUUCCCCAGCCAGGAAGAGUCCUGAGGAACUCCUCCCACAAAGGCCCAUGGCUUCCCUGCUGGCUUUGGUUCUAGGGCCCUUCUGACUGCCUGGGAACAGAAAUCCCAAACUCACCUACUCUCUGCUGCUAAUCAGCAGCCUUCGUUGUUCCCCAUCCCCUUGGCGCGCCCUGAGAUGGCCCUUCUCUUUACAUACGGAAGAAACUGGACAGAAUGUCCACACUGCUUCCUUCAGGGAACAUUUGCAGAAGUCACUUGCUCAGAGUUAGGGGAGUGCCUUCAGAGUUAGUGUCACAGCCUUCGGGGAUGGUUCCUACCCAGGCUCGGCAGCCUCCCCAGCUGUAGGACAGUACUUCCGCUCUCCUGAAAGCCCGGACUCAGUCUUCAGAGAGCUGUAACCACACGUUUCCCCCACUUUGUUAGGACAACUGAAGUGACUCGAAUUGUUCCCAAAGUUGACAAUUUGACAUUAAUUACAGGGGUGGGGGAAUAAAACGCAAGCUAGACGGCUUAAAACAUCCCUUUCUGGAAAAAGCUGCAGUUUGCAAGCGAGUUCAUCCUGAGCGUGCGCCGUCCCCAUCUGAGCCCUGUAGACUUUGGGUUAGCAGGAAAGGAGAAAGUGAAAUGUGUCAGACCUUAGGUUUUUCUCUCAAAAGCAGGCAUUGCGGAACCCCCAUCUCAGUCCACUCUCCUGACAGAGGAGCCCACUGCUAAUAAACUGGCUUUUCCAAAAUCUGGAUCACUUCAUUCCCCAGACCCCCUAGAAGCCCUGCCAGGUUUUUAAACUGCGAGCCUUUCCACCAGUAGAGAAACCAAACCACUCAAGGGUCAGUGUGAGGAGACACUCCGAGUUUCUUUUUCUCCUGCUUAUGAACACGUCUUUGUACUUUUGGAAUGAGCAUCGUAGUGUGUCGCUUCGAUGAAUGGGAUCCCAGGUUCUCCCUGUGCACAGCCAGUAGGCAGAUGUCACCUUUGGUGACUUCUUCCUCCCUUGAGUCUGUUCCUCCCCCAAGCAGGUUGCUUUCUCCAGUUGCUUCCUGGUGUCUGUACAUAGUUCGUCUUUGUAUAGGAGUGAUUGUGGUGACCGUCGAUCCCGCACCCUCCCGGGGUUCUAACUUAACAGACGACGGCUAUACGAGGAAGAUGCUGUACAUAGAAUAUAAAUUAAACUGGAUCUCUGUGGCCUAGGUUUUGUACAUACAGAAACUGCAUGGUGUUUAAAUUAUUGUUUCUCUCUGAUGAUGUAUGCAGUUUCUUUAAAAACAAGCCAAACCAAAAAAAAAAAAAAGUUU